AAUAUUUGGAACUCUCUUCCCUCGAAGAAAACAAAACAGGAACCUAACAUGGCUUCCCUCCGAAAGGCCCAACAAACAGCUGACUGAGACAUAAGGAGAUACAACCAACCAAUGGACUGAAGUCAGGAACCUCUGAACCUAGCUCAAGGAACCCUAUGGAAGUGGAAAGAGGAGGUGGAAAGGAUGGGAGAGCCAGAAGGAAUGGAGGACACCAGGAGAAGAAGACAGUAUUAAUCUACACAGGUUAAAAAAUGAAUUCCAGUAACAUCUAAGCUUACAUUGAGGAUUCACAGAUGCAAACUGACCUGUUGCCUUCGGCACCUUCUCCAUGCCUUUCCCAUUGGGAUGGAAUUUCUCUCCUGUAACUACCUCAAGAGUGGCAGAUCACCAAGCAAUAAGCACACUUAUUUGGAGUCAUUGCCUCCUCACCAAAUAUGUAAGGUGUAUUGAUCAAAAAUAGACAGAAUAAACCGAUAAGUGAGGAGCU
rnacentral:lncRNA from 1 species